AUUGAACGCUGGCGGCAGGCCUAACACAUGCAAGUCGAACGAGUGGCGGACGGGUGAGUAAUGUCUGGGAAACUGCCUGAUGGAGGGGGAUAACUACUGGAAACGGUAGCUAAUACCGCAUACCAUCGGAUGUGCCCCGAUGGGAUUAGCUAGUAGGUGGGGUAACGGCUCACCUAGGCGACGAUCCCUAGCUGGUGUGAGAGGAUGACGAGCGACACUGGAACGGAGACACGGUCCAGACUCCUACGGGAGGCAGCAGUGGGGAAUAUUGCACAAGGGGCGCAAGACUGAUGCAGCCAUGCCGCGUGUAUGAAGAAGGCCUGCGGGUUGUAAAGUACUUUCAGCGGGGAGGCGUUACCCGCAGAAGAAGCACCGGCUAACUCCGUGCCAGCAGCCGCGGUAAUAC
rnacentral:rRNA from 1 species